rnacentral:rRNA from 1 species
CAGCAGCCGCGGGAAUACGGAGGGAGCUAGCGUUGUUCGGAAUUACUGGGCGUAAAGCGCGCGUAGGCGGUUACUCAAGUCAGAGGUGAAAGCCCGGGGCUCAACCCCGGAACUGCCUUUGAAACUAGGUGACUAGAAUCUUGGAGAGGUCAGUGGAAUUCCGAGUGUAGAGGUGAAAUUCGUAGAUAUUCGGAAGAACACCAGUGGCGAAGGCGACUGACUGGACAAGUAUUGACGCUGAGGUGCGAAAGCGUGGGGAGCAAACAGGAUUAGAUACCCCCGUAGUCCCUGUCUCUUAUAA